UGAACGCUGGCGGUAGGCCUAACACAUGCAAGUCGAACGGCAGCACAGUAAGAGCUUGCUCUUACGGGUGGCGCGUGGCGGACGGGUGUGGAAUACAUCGGAAUCUACUUUUUCGUGGGGGAUAACUUAGGGAAACUUACGCUAAUACCGCAUACGACCUACGGGUGAAAGCAGGGGAUCUUCGGACCUUGCGCGAUUGAAUGAUCCGAUGUCGGAUUAGCUAGUUGGCGGGGUAAAGGCUCACCAAGGCGACGAUCCGUAGCUGGUCUGAGAGGAUGAUCAGCCACACUGGAACUGAGACACGGUCCAGACUCCUACGGGAGGCAGCAGUGGGGAAUAUUGGACAAUGGGCGCAAGCCUGAUCCAGCCAUACCGCGUGGGUGAAGAAGGCCUUCGGGUUGUAAAGCCCUUUUGUUGGGAAAGAAAAGCAGCAGGUUAAUACCCCGCUGUUCUGACGGUACCCAAAGAAUAAGCACCGGCUAACUUCGUG
rnacentral:rRNA from 1 species